CGAUCCUGGCUCAGGAUGAACGCUAGCUACAGGCUUAACACAUGCAAGUCGAGGGGAAACGACAUCGAAAGCUUGCUUUUGAUGGGCGUCGACCGGCGCACUGGUGAGUAACGCGUAUCCAACCUGCCCACCACUUGGGGAUAACCUUGCGAAAGUAAGACUAAUACCCAAUGAUAUCUCUAGAAGACAUCUGAAAGGGAUUAAAGAUUUAUCGGUGAUGGAUGGGGAUGCGUCUGAUUAG
rnacentral:rRNA from 1 species